rnacentral:rRNA from 1 species
UACGUAGGGUGCAAGCGUUAAUCGGAAUUACUGGGCGUAAAGCGUGCGCAGGCGGUUAUGCAAGACAGAUGUGAAAUCCCCGGGCUUAACCUGGGAACCGCAUUUGUGACUGCAUAGCUGGAGUACGGCAGAGGGGGAUGGAAUUCCGCGUGUAGCAGUGAAAUGCGUAGAUAUCGUAAGGAAGGCCGGUGGCGAAAGCGAGCCUCUGGACAGUUACUGGACGCUGAUG